UAAUACUUCAUAAUAUCCAUCUCGUAUGGAUUAAAGCUUUAUGCGCUUUGGGAGGGGCCUGCGUAACAUUAGCUUGUUGGUGAGGUAAAAGCUCACCAAGGCUUCGAUGUUUAACUGGUUUGAGAGGAUGACCAGUCACACUGGGACUGAGAUACGGCCCAGACUCCUACGGGAGGCAGCAGUAAGGAAUCUUCCACAAUGGGGGCAACCCUGAUGGAGCAAUACCGCGUGCAGGAUGAAGCGUUUCGGCGUGUAAACUGCUUUUAUCACCGAAGAUUAUGACUGUAGGUGAAGAAUAAGGACCGGCUAACUACGUG
rnacentral:rRNA from 1 species